GACGAACGCUGGCGGCGUGCUUAACACAUGCCAGUCGAACGCUGAAGCUUGGUGCUUGCACUGGGUGGAUGAGUGGCGAACGGGUGAGUAAUACGUGAGUAACCUGCCCUUGACUCUGGGAUAAGCCUGGGAAACUGGGUCUAAUACUAGAUACGACAUGUCACCGCAUGGUGGUGUGUGGAAAGGGUUUUACUGGUUUUGGAUGGGCUCACGGCCUAUCAGCUUGUUGGUGGGGUAAUGGCUCACCAAGGCGACGACGGGUAGCCGGCCUGAGAGGGUGACCGGCCACACUGGGACUGAGACACGGACCAGACUCCUACGGGGGGCAGCGGUGGGGAAUAUUGCACAAUGGGCGGACGCCUGAUGCAGCGACGCCGCGUGUGGGAUGACGGCCUUCGGGUUGUAAACCUCUUUCAGCAAGGAAGAAGCGAAAGUGACGGUACGUGAAGAAGAAGCGCCGGCUAACUACGUG
rnacentral:rRNA from 1 species